rnacentral:rRNA from 1 species
UACGUAGGGCGCAAGCGUUAUCCGGAAUUAUUGGGCGUAAAGAGCUCGUAGGCGGUUUGUCGCGUCUGCCGUGAAAGUCCGGGGCUCAACUCCGGAUCUGCGGUGGGUACGGGCAGACUAGGGUGAUGUAGGGGAGACUGGAAUUCCUGGUGUAGCGGUGAAAUGCGCAGAUAUCAGGAGGAACACCGGUGGCGAAGGCGGGUCUCUGGGCAGUAACUGACGCUGAGGAGCGAAAGCGUGGGGAGCGAACAGG